rnacentral:rRNA from 1 species
AUUGAACGCUGGCGGCAUGCUUUACACAUGCAAGUCGAACGGUAACAGGCCGCAAGGUGCUGACGAGUGGCGAACGGGUGAGUAAUGCAUCGGAACGUGCCCAGUCGUGGGGGAUAACGCAGCGAAAGCUGCGCUAAUACCGCAUACGAUCUCUGGAUGAAAGCGGGGGACCGAAAGGCCUCGCGCGAUUGGAGCGGCCGAUGUCAGAUUAGGUAGUUGGUGGGGUAAAGGCCCACCAAGCCAACGAUCUGUAGCUGGUCUGAGAGGACGACCAGCAACACUGGGACUGGGACACGGCCCAGACUCCUACGGGAGGCAGCAGUGGGGAAUUUUGGACAAUGGGCGCAAGCCUGAUCCAGCAAUGCCGCGUGCAGGAAAAAGGCCUUCGGGUUGUAAACUGCUUUUGUACGGAACGAAACGGUCCGGGUUAAUACCCUGGGCUAAUGACGGUACCGUAAGAAUAAGCACCGGCUAACUACGUGCCAGCAGCCGCCGUAACAC